rnacentral:rRNA from 1 species
AUGCAAGUCGAGCGAGGGCUCUUCUCCCGCAAGGGAGGGGAGUUCCUAGCGGCGAACGGGUGAGUAACACGUGGGCAACCUUUCCUAUCGCGGGGGAUAACAGCGGGAAACCGCUGCUAAUACCGCAUGUAGUCACCGGUCGCAUGGCCGGUGAAAAAAGCAGCAAUGCACGAUGGGGUGGGCCCGCGGCCUAUCAGCUAGUCGGUGGGGUAACGGCCUACCGAGGCGAUGACGGGUAGCUGGUCUGAGAGGACGACCAGCCACACGGGGACUGAGACACGGCCCCGACUCCUACGGGAGGCAGCAGUGAGGAAUCUUCCGCAAUGGGCGAAGGCCUGACGGAGCGACACCGCGUGUGGGAUGAAGUCCUUCGGGAUGUAAACCACUGUUGGAGGGGAAGACUUCGACGGUACCCUCCGAGAAAGCCCCGGCUAACUACGUGCCAGCAGCCGCGGUAAUACGUA